rnacentral:rRNA from 1 species
AACGAACGUUGGCGGCGUGGAUUAGGCAUGCAAGUCGUACGAGUUUCCUCUGGGUACCUGGUUGAAAAAAGUGGCGAAAGGGGCAGUAAGGCAUGGAUAAUCUACCCUGAUGACCGGGAUAGCUGUCCCAACGGGCAGGUAAUACCGGAUGAGCUGGUGGGGCCGCAUGGUUCUGCCAGGAAAGGCGCAAGCCGUGUUGGGAUGACUCCUUGUGAUAUUAGCUAGUUGGUGAGGUAAAGGCUCACCAAGGGGAAGAUGUCUAGCUGGUGUGAGGGCAGGACCCGGGCCAUGGGCGCGGAGACAAUGGCCAGGCUCCCACGGGGGGCUGGAGGCGGGGAUCUUCGGAAAUGGGGGAGAGCCUGAACGAGGGACGCCGCGUGAGCGGUGAAGGCCAUUAGGUUGUAAAGCUCUGUCGGGGGGGAACAAGCCGCAAGGUGGAGGGAGCCGUGGAGGAAGCACGGGCUAAGUUCGUG